rnacentral:lncRNA from 1 species
AACAGGCUUCCCAAAUGAAACCCCAGUUUCAAAAUUGUCUUUCCUGACCCCUGACAUCGGAUACUUCAGAGGGCCCCUGGAAUGUCCAGAAAAGAGAGGUCCAGGAGCUCCAAGUUUAUCUUGGGACCUUAUGAGGAGAGGAUGACCCCACUCACAGUUUUCUCCUACAUUUUAGACUAAUCCUGCUUGUUCCUGUGAACCAACCAGCAAUCUCUGGCUGCAGCUCAGAAAGAACAAAAGGGGAUGGGCCUUCCCUGCUUCAUGUGUGCAAGCUGCUUUGGCACUCAUGGCGGGACCUGCCUAGGUCACAGGGACUUGGAGAUGCAAGGAUGGAAGAGGAAAAGAGGACACUCUUCCUUUUCUCCCUCAUGUACCCCAGACCAUCAAACUCCAAAUGGUCAUGCAACCAGAGCCUCUGACGAUGGCCCCUUCUGCUGGGAACCCUUAAAUAGGCCUCUGAGGAAGCUCUGACUGCCAUUUCCCCAAAAGCUCUGACUGCCGUUUCCCUGUCAGCAGGAAGCAGUGGAAUCUCAUUCUGUUACCGAGGCUGCAGUGCAGUGGCAUGAUCUCGGCUCACUGCAAGCUCCACCUCCCGAGUUCACGCCAUUCUCCUGCUUCAGCCCCUCGAGUAGCUGGGACUACAGGCGCCCGCCACCACACCCGGCUA